GUGGGGAAUCUUAGACAAUGGGGGAAACCCUGAUCUAGCCAUGCCGCGUGAUCGAUGAAGGCCUUAGGGUUGUAAAGAUCUUUCAGGUGGGAAGAUAAUGACUGUACCACCAGAAGAAGCCCCGGCUAACUCCGUGCCAGCAGCCGCGGUAAUACGGAGGGGGCUAGCGUUGUUCGGAAUUACUGGGCGUAAAGCGCACGUAGGCGGAUUGGAAAGUUGGGGGUGAAAUCCCGGGGCUUAACCCCGGAACUGCCUUCAAAACUCCCAGUCUUGAGUUCGAGAGAGGUGAGUGGAAUUCCGAGUGUAGAGGUGAAAUUCGUAGAUAUUCGGAGGAACACCAGUGGCGAAGGCGGCUCACUGGCUCGAUACUGACGCUGAGGUGCGAAAGCGUGGGGAGCAAACAGGAUUAGAAACCCGGGUAGUCC
rnacentral:rRNA from 1 species